UACGGAGGAUGCGAGCGUUAUCCGGACUUAUUGGGUUUAAAGGGUGCGUAGGCGGGCUUUUAAGUCAGCGGUAAAAAUUCGGGGCUCAACCCCGUCCGGCCGUUGAAACUGGGGGCCUUGAGUGGGCGAGAAGAAGGCGGAAUGCGUGGUGUAGCGGUGAAAUGCAUAGAUAUCACGCAGAACCCCGAUUGCGAAGGCAGCCUUCCGGCGCCCUACUGACGCUGAGGCACGAAAGUGCGGGGAUCGAACAGG
rnacentral:rRNA from 1 species